rnacentral:tRNA from 1 species
AGAAAGAUAAGCUAACUAAGCUACUGGGUUCAUACCCCAUUUAUAGAGAUUUUAAUUCUCUUCUUCCUA